rnacentral:rRNA from 1 species
UGGGGAAUAUUGCACAAUGGGCGAAAGCCUGAUGCAGCGACGCCGCGUGAGCGAAGAAGUAUCUCGGUAUGUAAAGCUCUAUCAGCAGGGAAGAAAAUGACGGUACCUGACUAAGAAGCCCCGGCUAACUACGUGCCAGCAGCCGCGGUAAUACGUAGGGGGCAAGCGUUAUCCGGAUUUACUGGGUGUAAAGGGAGCGUAGACGGAGAGGCAAGUCUGAUGUGAAAGCCCGGGGCUCAACCCCGGGACUGCAUUGGAAACUGUUUAUCUAGAGUGCCGGAGGGGUAAGUGGAAUUCCUAGUGUAGCGGUGAAAUGCGUAGAUAUUAGGAGGAACACCAGUGGCGAAGGCGGCUUACUGGACGGUAACUGACGUUGAGGCUCGAAAGCGUGGGGAGCAAACAGG